GCGGGCAUCACUGAAGACCUGACACCGGCGGAAUCGGACGUCCGCGGUGUCCUCCUCUGCACAAUUUAGAAAUCCGAUGGUUCUCUUCCGCAAAACUAUCACCGCCGGCGCAUGAAGCUGACCCGAUGCUAUCACAGAGAAUGAGCGCGCUUCGCCGGGAGGAGCACAACAGCUUUUUCCGUGUCCAAACGCUCGGAGGGGCGCAGGGGCGAGACAAUAACGCCCAGAAGUUAUUGAAAUGAAUCGUCUUGGAAAGAGCUGACUGACAUGAGAGGAGGAAACAGAACUAGAAGUUGGGCUUCACCGCAGAGGAAGGGAAGCAGAACCCCGCCACCCCUCCAGAGAGGAACGCGAUGAGAACAAGACGAGUGAUGAAAGAGAGGUCCAGACAUGAAGGAGGCACGCGCACACACACACGCGGCACCUAGAGUCUGUCUGCGGUCUACCACCAGCCUGCCACACACACCUAUGACUGUUACGGGCAGCAGAUUAAGUGGGCGACGCCAUUCCAGCUGUGAGAAGAUGGAAGAAGUCAAAACACACACACACACACACACACACACACACACACACACACACACACACACACACACACACACACACACANACACACACACACACACACACACAGCCGGAGGCACACGAGCAUUAAGUCAGGCAGCUAAACAGAUCACGUCGCGGUAUGAUAUCUGCAGACAGGCAGACAGAGGAGGCCGGUUUGUACCUGCAGGCGCAGAGCAACAACUCUCAGCACCCUCGCCAGGAAUUUCCUCCCCCUUCUGAGAGACAGAGGGGGGGGGGAGAAACUGAAGGUGAGAGAAAGACAUAGAGUGGGAUUUCCACUGUAACGCAAAACAGUAAACGUUAAAACCUGGCUGCUAUAUUUCCUUUUUUCUGAUCUUAAAGGUUCAAGGUCACAACAAAUUUCUUAAUAUUUCUGCUACUGAGACUCAUUGACCAAAAAAGUCUCAGAGGCACGUGGUGAGGAUUUUUUAUUUAUUUCAUAAAAAUGUAUACUUAUGUAUACUUAAUAACUUAUAUUUAUAAGAGGCUUUGUCAGUGAAAUUUGAAUUGAGAGCCAUAAUGCUCACAGGUCUUUGUCUAGCAUUACAAGUGCAUUAAUUACAUAAUAAGAACUGUAAUCAUCACAAAAUCAUAUCGACAUUCAGUGUUUUUUUAAAUUUGUUCUCUAUUUCAGUUUUAAUUUUUAAGCCCAUUUUAGUCAUUUUUUAUUUUGUUUCAUCCAGUGUGUUUUUCCAAGCAAAGGUUUCCUUUUGAAAAACCAGCUUGAUGGAGGGAUAAUCACACAAAGUUUCAGCUGAGGGCAGCGAGGCGGAAGAGAUGAAGGGGAGAAAAAAAAAGUUCUUGCGUCACAUUUUGAGUCCAACCUUCUCCUUUACCUGCGCUGAUGAAAGGAAAUCCUCUGACAUUAAAGACGAACAACUCAUUCACACGCUACUGUGAUAUCGAGCGCAGGCGGCUCUUUUGUUAUUUUGGAGUAAUCCGAUCACCUCCUGUGUGAUGUCUCUCCGGAAUUAUGAGGCUGUUUUGACAGGAUCUGUUUACGCAAACUUGUCCGGCUUGUUUUCUAUUGUGAAUGUUGUUCGGGGCAGCUUUGGCAUUUUAUUUUUUUUGUAUAGCUUUUCUCUUUCAGCGUAUGUGGCCUUUACCUGUAGUGUCCUGCAUCACGCUUAUAGUGAUUCCUCCUCUGGAAGUGACCCGGACUGUUGUCUGUUACUCAAAAGAGCAGAUUCAUUGAUUCACUUCUGUACAAGUUGGUUGUGUUGCUGUAUAAGAGAAAUUAACUAUCAGUUCACUUCCGUACAAAUUUUCCAAACUAGUCCAACAAUAAAUUUCAGGAUCUCGCUUCUCUCCCCUA